rfam:Gossypium raimondii Chr06_contig_135, whole genome shotgun sequence.
UGUUAAAAAUUUCAUCCAAUUGUACUCUUAAAAAUUUGUCUGGCUAAUGGAAUAACUAGACAAUGACACAUUUACCUCAUGUCAAUGUACAUGGACAAGUUUUUAACAUUAGAAAUGGAUAGAAUUCUUUAACA